rnacentral:lncRNA from 1 species
AAGCAUAUAGUUGAAGAACAGAAACAUAGACGAUGGUCGAUGAAGAAUCAGAAUGCGAUGGUGGAUCCUUAUAUAGCCAUGUGUUAUCAACAAUCGGUGCCCUAUUCUUAAUAGGUUGCUUACUGCCAUGGGUUGAACUGUUCCUAAAGAGUGUGAUGGCGGGUUCUAAAAAACAAUGGUCAAAUUUGUUUUGUGAAGAGAAGACGAAUUCUGAAACCUACAAUGGUGGUGCGACGGUGAUGACGUCACUUGGUUCUUGACAACCAGUAACCUAAUUUCAGCACGUGUUGGACUUAUUAUGGUUGUAAAUUUGUAAUGGAUUAUUUCAAAACCAUUUUGUAAAAGCCUUUUGGGCUUAAGCAAUGAAUCAAACAUUGACAAAAAAAGCAAUGAAUCAAACAUAUGACAAAAAAAACAUUUUCUCUAAAUAGCCAAACAAAUACAGAUAAUAUCAUAUUUACAAAAUAUUAAUAUAAAUAAUUGAAAAGCUGUUAAGUUGACAUCUUUUUUUUUUGUCAUGUGUUGGAUUAAUAUUGAAACUUGAACAAAGGAUACAUCAAACCAGCAAAACAAAGAUUCUUCCGGAGCCAGUAGCCAGCAUAGUAAACAAUACUAUCUGGAGCCAAAGAUGAAAAUAUAGAAAACAACACAUAAACUAGAAGACACAGACCAUAAAGGCAGAUGACUACAAACAUCUAGACGAGACUCAAACCCAUUCAUACAAGAAACAAACCGGACUGUUAGCUAAUAGAUAACCGUUGCUGUAGACUGCGCCUCCUCCUCCUCUGCGCCUGUACUCCACUGACCUCCUCCAAUUCCAACUUAAACUCGCCAUUGGACUUUGAAAGGACUCACCACGCACCUUCUACGCGCCUCCACACCACAGCAAGGCCACCCAAGCCUUACUUAACACGAUUCUUCUCCAUACAGCCGGUAACCAUUAGCCAACCACCACAGGCCAUAGCUCUGACAAAAUCGAUGUCUGUUGCGUCCAGAUCUGAAUUUCUUCACUUCAAUCCGGAGACAUGAAGCUUCUAUUCAGAUUUGAGACCAUCUAAAACUAAAAAGAGCAUAAAACUAGAAGAAACAUGCAACCACCUUCUCACGGAACCAACGGCGAGAUGCCGCGGCCGGAGAAGGUGAAAAGACGACGACUCUGCUUUUUUUUUUCACUCGCUCUGCCCUUUUUUUU